AGCCACCAUCACCAAAACCAUCUCUUGCUGCAGCCUUUAGUCCAUUCCAGCCACCCUCCUCCACCUUUAGACACCAUUCCACACCUCCAUAACUCUUUCCCACACCUUGCCGCACCACCCUACCAUCCUAACUCCCUUCUAAAAACCAAAAACACAUCCAGCAAACUCCAUUCACGCCAGAACCUGUCCCUCACCUUUGCCGAG
rnacentral:lncRNA from 1 species